rnacentral:rRNA from 1 species
AUUGAACGCUGGCGGCGGGCUUAACACAUGCAAGUCGAGCGGAGAUGAGGUGCUUGCACCUUAUCUUAGCGGCGGACGGGUGAGUAAUGCUUAGGAAUCUGCCUAUUAGUGGGGGACAACAUUCCGAAAGGAAUGCUAAUACCGCAUACGUCCUACGGGAGAAAGCAGGGGAUCUUCGGACCUUGCGCUAAUAGAUGAGCCUAAGUCGGAUUAGCUAGUUGGUGGGGUAAAGGCCUACCAAGGCGACGAUCUGUAGCGGGUCUGAGAGGAUGAUCCGCCACACUGGGACUGAGACACGGCGCAGACUCCUACGGGAGGCAGCAGUGGGGAAUAUUGGACAAUGGGGGAAACCCUGAUCCAGCCAUGCCGCGUGUGUGAAGAAGGCCUUAUGGUUGUAAAGCACUUUAAGCGAGGAGGAGGCUACUGAGACUAAUACUCUUGGAUAGUGGACGUUACUCGCAGAAUAAGCACCGGCUAACUCUGUGCCAGCCGCCGCGGUAA